UAAUUUGCUUCCACCCAUCUUCUUUCCUUACAAAACCCUAGAUGCAUUCAUUCCAAUCAUCUUCUCCCCCUAAACAACCAAACUCCAUAGCCAGUCUCACCAACCCCAUAACCUCAUAGAGAUUCACACAGCUAAAAACCCUCACCACACCCGGCCCUUCAUCUCCCCCCACACUCACUGUCAUACGCCAUCAGCCACUACUGCCCUCUCACCAUCAGUCACUCUCCGCCAUCUACAACCACACACUACAGCCAUGCCCCUUCAACCAGAUUUACCACUCAACAAACCACCAUCCAAAGCCACGAAUUCCAGCGGCCAGCUACCUGAAGAUCUACCAAGAAAUCAACCUGACAUCGCAGUCGAAUUAACCCAAAAAACCAGACCCAAAGUCUUCUCAAGUCAAUCCAAUUUCCUGCCUAAAUUCACCCGUAAAUCAAUACUCAAAUCAACCCCAAAACUCCCUAGAAUUAAUGGUUGGACAUUUUCAAAUGUUCAAGUGUAGGCCACUGAGAUUCCCACUACUGUGACCAUUUGCCGUUUUCUUUUCACUACAACCCAGCACGAUUGUUAAGAAAAGAAAAAACAAACAAACCUUUCUAACUGGAGGCUGUUGGGUGCAGAGAGUCAAGCUGCGAAAAAGUUCCCCAUCAUGGUUCCUGUUCAUGCCUUGCAAUAACGUUCUCUUCUCUCAGCGUGUGAGUGGAUUGAACCUACUUGAGUUUUUCCCUAACACUACAAUUGAGUUGAAAGACUGUGCAUCCCACGGUUCGACAGCGGAAAUUGCUGGUCAUGAAUAAACAGAUGCUAAAAUCACAACGGAGCAAAAACUAAUUGCCAGGAUUCACACAACUAGCCAGUCGUCGCCAAUGCAGGCCUGUAACCAGGCUAUCAAUGACCUAGACAAGGAGCUUGACCAUUUGAACAAUGCAUUUGAGGCUGAGAUGGCAAAAAUCUCAAGGGAUUAUUAAGCAUAUGGAUAUGUAUGUUCAAUUGAUGGUGCUGUUUGAUGGAAUUUUGCGAUGAAGGAGUGUGAUUUUGAUGGGAUUCGAUUCUGGUUGUAAUUAACUGAUGACUUCUGGCGGAUAUGAAUAUUAAAUGUGUAGCUAAUCUUGCUUGAGAAAUGGCAAGCGGAUGUUUUUCUUAAGCGUGAUUCACAGACUGAUUUCAUACUCUUAACCAGCCCUCCAGCUGUUAUUUUUUCUUUGAAUGCAAAUGGCACCUUUUCUAUGUA